rnacentral:rRNA from 1 species
UACGUAGGGUGCAAGCGUUAAUCGGAAUUACUGGGCGUAAAGCGUGCGCAGGCGGUUCGGAAAGAAAGGUGUGAAAUCCCAGGGCUUAACCUUGGAACUGCACUUUUAACUACCGGGCUAGAGUAUGUCAGAGGGGGGUAGAAUUCCACGUGUAGCAGUGAAAUGCGUAGAGAUGUGGAGGAAUACCGAUGGCGAAGGCAGCCCCCUG